GACGAACGCUGGCGGCGUGCUUAACACAUGCAAGUCGAGCGGUAAGGCCUCUUCGGGGGUACACGAGCGGCGAACGGGUGAGUAACACGUGGGUGACCUGCCCUCAGCUCUGGGAUAAGCCUGGGAAACUGGGUCUAAUACCGGAUAUGACCUUUCCUCGCAUGGGGUUUGGUGGAAAGUUUUUUCGGCUGGGGAUGGGCCCGCGGCCUAUCAGCUUGUUGGUGGGGUGAUGGCCUACCAAGGCGACGACGGGUAGCCGGCCUGAGAGGGCGACCGGCCACACUGGGACUGAGACACGGCCCAGACUCCUACGGGAGGCAGCAGUGGGGAAUAUUGGGAAAUGGGCGAAAGCCUGACGCAGCAAGGCCGCGUGGGGGAUGAAGGCCUUCGGGUUGUAAACCUCUUUUGCCCCGGACGAUUUUGACGGGAAGGGGAGAAAAAGCCACGGCCAACUUCGUG
rnacentral:rRNA from 1 species